rnacentral:rRNA from 1 species
CACGAACCGUACGAACGUUAUUCGGAAUUACUGGGCUUAAAGGGUUUGUAGGCGGCCUUGUAAGUCAGGUGUGAAAGCCCUCGGCUCAACCGAGGAACAGCGCUUGAUACUGCAAGGCUUGAGGGAGACAGGGGUAAGCGGAACUGAUGGUGGAGCGGUGAAAUGCGUUGAUAUCAUCAGGAACACCGGAGGCGAAGGCGCCUCACUGGCCGGUAACUGACACUGAGCUGCGAAAGCAAGGGGAGCAAACAGG